rnacentral:rRNA from 1 species
CGGGACGGGUGAGUAACGCGUGGGUAACCUGCCUCAUACAGGGGGAUAACAGUUAGAAAUGGCUGCUAAUACCGCAUAAGACCACAGUACCGCAUGGUACAGUGGUAAAAACUCCGGUGGUAUGAGAUGGACCCGCGUCUGAUUAGGUAGUUGGUGAGGUAACGGCCCACCAAGCCGACGAUCAGUAGCCGACCUGAGAGGGUGACCGGCCACAUUGGGACUGAGACACGGCCCAG